rnacentral:rRNA from 1 species
GGGUUGAUCCUGAAACUCAGUUGAACGCUGGCGGGAUGCUUUACACAUGCAAGUCGAACGGCAGCACGAGACUUCGGUCUGGUGGCGAGUGGCGAACGGGUGAGUAAUGUAUCGGAACAGUACCCCCUGAAAUGUAGGGGAUAACUACGCGAAGAAGCGUAGCUAAUACCGCAUACGCCCUUCGGGGAAAGCGGGGGACCUUCGGGCCUCGCACUAUCUCAGCGGCCGAUAUCGGAUUAGCUGAUUGGUGGGGUAACGGCUCACCAGGCGACGAUCAUGUGGUUUGAAGAGGACGAUGCGAAAGCACGCACUGGGACUGAGGAAUACAGCCCAGACUCCUACGGGAGGCAGCAGUGGGAAUUUUGGACAAUGGAAACCUGAUCCAGCCAUCCCGCGUGUGCGAUGAGCGCUUCGGGUUGUAAAGCACUUUUUGGCGGAAAAAGCCGGCACGGGAUAUGCCCCGUGCAACUGACGGUACCUGCAGAAUAGCCACCAAGCUAACUACGUGCCAGCAGCCGCGAUAACCACGUAGGGUGCAAGCUGAUUAAUCGGAAUUAUGGGCGUAAAGCGUGCGCAGGCGGUUCGGAAAGAAAAGAUGUGAGAUCAGAACUUAGCACUGGAACUGCAUUUUUAACUGCAGGCUGGUGUGUCGGGAAGUGGAAUUCACGCGUGUAGCAGUGAAAUGCGUAGAUAUGCGGAGAGACACCGAUGGCGAAGGCAGCCUCCUGGGAUAACACUGACGCUCAUGUACGAAAAGCAGCGGGAGCAAACAGGAUUAGAUACCCUGGUAGUCCACGCCCUAAACGAUAUCAACUAGCUGUUGGGGCCUUCAGGCCUUGGUAGCGCAACUAACGCGUAUAGGGUAAACCGCCUAGAAUACGGUCACCAGAUUCAGCCUCAAGGAAUUCGGCAGGGACCCGCACAAGCGGUGGAUGAUGUGGAUUAAUUCGAUGCAACGCGAAAAACCUUACCUACCCUUGACAUAUUGGAAUCCCGAAGAGAUUUGGGAGUGCUCGCAAGAAGACCGGAACACAGGUGCUGCAUGGCUGUCGUCAAGCUCGUGUCGUGAGAUGUUGGGUUAAGUCCGCAGCAGGCGCAGCCCUUGUCAUUAGUUGCUACGAAGGGCACUCUAAUGGGAACCGCAGUGACAAACCGGGGAAGGUGGGGAUGACGUCAAGUCCUCAUGGCCCAUAUGGUGGAGCUUCCGCAUCAUGCAAUGGUCGGGACAGAGGGUGCUUAACCGCGAGGGAAAUUCGUCCAGAAACCCGAUCGUGAUCCGGAUCGCAGUCUGCAAUCGACUGCGUGAAGUCGAAUCUUCAAUAAUCGCGGAUCAGCAUGUCGCGGUGAAUACGUUCCCGGGUCUUGUACACACCGCCCGUCACACCAUGGGAGUGGGUUUUACCAGAAGUAGUUAUGCUUCUAACCGUAAGGGCGAUUACCACGGUAGGAUUCAUGACUGAAGUCGUAACAAAGGUAG